AUUGAACGCUGGCGGCAGGCUUAACACAUGCAAGUCGAGCGGAGCGAGGGUGCUUGCACCUUAGCUUAGCAGCGGACGGGUGAGUAAUGCUUAGGAAUCUGCCUAUUAGUGGGGGACAACAUUCCGAAAGGAAUGCUAAUACCGCAUACGCCCUACGGGGGAAAGCAGGGGAUCUUCGGACCUUGCGCUAAUAGAUGAGCCUAAGUCGGAUUAGCUAGUUGGUGGGGUAAAGGCCUACCAAGGCGACGAUCUGUAGCGGGUCUGAGAGGAUGAUCCGCCACACUGGGACUGAGACACGGCCCAGACUCCUACGGGAGGCAGCAGUGGGGAAUAUCGGACAAUGGGCGGAAGCCUGAUCCAGCCAUGCCGCGUGUGUGAAGAAGGCCUUUUGGUUGUAAAGCACUUUAAGCGAGGAGGAGGCUACUAGUAUUAAUACUACUGGAUAGUGGACGUUACUCGCAGAAUAAGCACCGGCUAACUCUGUGCCAGCCGCCGCGGUAACAC
rnacentral:rRNA from 1 species